rnacentral:lncRNA from 1 species
AAUGGCGACACUUGAAAUACCAAUAAAAAUGCUUAAAAAAUCUAAGAAAAGAAAGAGUAAGGAAAGAUUGCGAGAUAGUAUAAAGAAACAAAGAUUAGCAUCGCAUAAAACAGGGCUUGAAUGUAACUUAAAUGCUUAUAGAAGAAGAAAAAAAAAUGUUAUUAAGAUAUUUUAACUCUCUAUCCAGCUAGGAUGCUCAAGAUUCGUAUCUUGCAAGUUUAAUAACUUUAAAUAACUUUAAAUAAAUUUCAAAAAGAAGACCACGAAACAUUAAUUUAAAAGAUUAUAAUAGCAGUUACAAAUAUAAAUUUUUAAUUACAAAUCACGAGUUCGUUUAUUUAUGUUUGCUUUUCUGUGUUUAUUUCAAUCUUUGGCAUAAAGAAUGAAAGAUUAGAGACCAUUAAAAGAAGCCUUUUAACUAAAGGUCACUCUCCCCGUGAUAGAAGAGGUAAACACAAGAAUCAGUAUAACAAUUUUACUCCUUAACUAAAAAAUAAAAUAUGUGAUCACAUUUCUUCUUUCAGAGGUAGAUACCAAGAUCUAUUAAUUUUAACCAAGAUGAAUGACUUGUUUAAAAUCAAGUAUGGAAAUGAUAAAAUGUCAUAUGAAUCUUAUCGCAACAUAUUUAACAAAGUUUUAACAUUUCUUUUGGGUACCCUAGGACUAAAACGUUGUAAAUGCAGUGAGUUUAAAAUUAAAUUUGAUGCAAUAAAAAUUGAACUAUCUUUUCAUUCGGAAUUUACAAAGCCUGAACAACAAUUGCAUGAGCUUGAGUUACAGAAAGAACAGCACCACAAAGAUGCAGAAAUAUUUUAUGUUAGGAAAAGAAAUGCUUGGUUUAAAGCACAAAGGGAGUACAAAUUUAAGGCAAUUGCUUUUGAUUUAAAAAAAAAUCUUAACUUACCAAAUCAAUCAACCAACGACUUUUACUACAAACGAAAAUUACCAUUUUCUUCAUUUAAUAUUCACGUGCUUUCAAGCAAUCAAGUUUAUUUGUAUUGUUAUGAUGAAACUAUAGCUAAAAAAGGGGCUGAUGAAGUAACUUCGAUGAUUUUUUUAUAAAACAUUUAGACAAAGAAAUUUGAUCUGUAGAGCUAUUUUGUGAUUCAUGUGCUGGCUAAAGCAAAAACUAUACAUUAAUUCGUUUUAUGGAUUUUCUUGUUCAUGAAAAAAAAAAGGUUUGACUUUAUUAAAGUUACAUCUCCAGAACGUGGUCAUUCUGUUAUGGAAUGUGAUAUGGGAUUAAUUAAUUGCAAAACACCCACUAGUGAUGCAUCAGAUUGGAUUAAAACAAUCAAAAAUGCUCGUAAAAAACCCACUCUUUUUCAUGUUAUAGAAUUAACGCAAAGUAUGGUUAAAAAUAUAACUGAUUUUAUGAAACCAUUUUAUAAGAAUAAAUGUCCAAUUCCAACUUGUCCUCUUUGUGAAUUUUGUUUCAGAGGAGACUCAAGUGGCAUUGUAUUUCAUCGUGAUUCGUGGAAUGGAUUAUUGUUGAAAACUAAUUUAAAAAAUAAUAGAAAGAACACUAUAAAUAGUGAAAUCCCCAUUCUGUAUAAUG